CUCUCUCUCUCUCUCUCUCUCUCCCCGGUUAUUUAGUACACAGACAGAAGAAGAGGUAGUACAUGCAUAGUCAUCUUGGUCAAUGGAAUAUUGGAUUUGGGUAGUACAUGUGAGUACGAUUUAAAAUGGCCUUUGUUGUACAAAUAAAUACACAGAAAGGCCAGCAAGGGUUAGGGAAGGGCAGACUGGUGGGUGGCUGGUGACAAUUGAAACUAGAGGAGCUGAUGGAUGAGGUGUGUGCAAAAAGCCAACAAGAGGUUAAAUAUGGGCUGUGCAGUGUAACAAUGCCAAAAGACACAGCACAACUGUGGUUUUUGAAUAAAAUAAGUUUCUCUGUUUCCUUUGUCUCAAUCAAAUCAAUAUGGUUUCUUCUAGUCACCCAUCUGGAUCUGGCUGUGUUCUUCUUUUCAUUGAUUGAUUGUACAAUGUUGUCUCUGAAAGGAAGUCUAUGUAUGUGAACAAGAGCAGAUUGUAAGUAAGAAUUGUCAUGUAAUGUUCCUUAAAUC